GACGUAGGGGGCGAGCGUUGUCCGGAUUCAUUGGGCGUAAAGAGCGCGUAGGCGGUCGAUCAAGUCGAGUGUGAAAGCCCCCGGCUCAACUGGGGAGGGUCAUUCGAUACUGAUCGACUCGAAGGCAGGAGAGGGUAGUGGAAUUCCCGGUGUAGUGGUGAAAUGCGUAGAUAUCGGGAGGAACACCAGUGGCGAAGGCGACUACCUGGCCUGUUCUUGACGCUGAGGCGCGAAAGCUAGGGGAGCAAACGGG
rnacentral:rRNA from 1 species